CUCAGAGAUGACCAAUCUUAUGAGCAGGGGUCCUGAAAAUCUGUCAUGGACGAGCCCUCGCUUUGUGGAAACAACUAGAUCUUCCUCUUCUCUGACAUCAUUACCUCUCGCGACCUCACUUUCUCCUGUGUCCUCUACAUUACUAGAGAGUAGCCCCUCCUCUCCUCUUCCUGUGACUUCACUUAUCCUCCCAGGCCUGGUGAAGACUACGGAAGUGUUGGACACAAGCUCAGAGCCUAAAACCAGUUCAUCUCCAAAUCUGAGCAGCACCUCAGUUGAAAUACCAGCCACCUCUGAAAUCAUCACAGAUACAGAGAAAAUUCAUCCUACCUCAAACACAGCGGUGACCAAAGUGGGGACCUCCAGUUCUGUUCAUGAAUCUCAUUCCUCUGUCCUAGCUGACUCAGAAACAACCAUGACCACACCUUCAAUGGGUAUCACCUCCCCUGUGGAGGACACCACUGUUUUCACAUCAAUUCCUGCCUUCUCUGAGACUAGGAGGAUUCCGACAGAGCCCACAUUCUCACUGACUCCUGGAUUCAGGGAGACUAGCACCCCUGAAGAGACCAGCUCAAUCACAGAAACAAGUGCAGUCCUUUUUGGAGUGCCCACUAGUGCUACUACUGAGGUCUCUGUGACAGAAAUCAUGUCCUCUAACAGAACACACAUCCCUGACCCUGAUCAGUCCACAAUGUCUCCAGACAUCAUCACUGAAGUGAUCACCAGGCUCUCUUCCUCAUCCAUGAUGUCAGAAUCAACAGAAAUGACCAUCACCACCCAAACAAGUUCUCCUGAGGCUACAACACAGAGUACCCUUACCUUGGCCACAACAACAGCACCCUUGGCAAAGACCCAUUCAACUGUUCCUCCAAGAUUUUUACACUCAGAGAUGACAACUCUUAUGAGCAGGAGUCCUGAAAAUCCAUCAUGGAAGAGCUCUCCCUUUGUGGAAAAAACUAGCUCUUCCUCUUCUCUGUUGUCCUUACCUGUCAAGACGUCACCUUCUGUUUCUUCCACAUUACUACAGAGUAUCUCUUCCUCUUCUUUUCCUGUGACUUCGCUCCUCACCCCAGGCAUGGUGAAGACUACAGACAUAAGCACAGAACCUGGAACCAGUUUAUCUCCAAAUCUGAGCAGCACCUCAGUUGAAAUACUGGCUGCCUCUGAAGUCACCACAGAUACAGAGAAAAUUCACCCUUCUUCAAGCAUGGCAGUGACCAAUGUGGGAACCACUAAUUCUGGACAUGAACUAUAUUCCUCUGUUUCAAUCCACUUGGAGCCAUCCAAGGCUACAUACCCAGUGGGUACUUCCUCUUCCAUGGCCGAAACCACUAUUUCCACAUCAACGCCUGCCAAUAUUGAGACCACAAGAUCUGAGGCAGAGCCAUUUUCUCAUUUGACUUCUGCAUUUAGGAAGACUAACACGUCCCUGGACACCAGCUCAGUCACACCAACAAAUACACCUUCUUCUCCUGGGUCUACUCAUCUUUUACAGAGUUCCAAGACUGAUUUCACCUCUUCUGUGAAAACAUCAUCCCCAGACCGGCCUCCAGUCUCACAGUAUACUGAAAUUCCAGUGGACAUAAUCACCCCCUUUAAUGCUUCUCCAUCUAUUAUGGAGUCCACUGGAGUAACCUCCUUCCCAGAAUCCAAGUUUACUAUGUCUGUAACAGAAAGUACUCAUCAUCUGAGUACAGAUUUGCUGCCUUCAGCUGAGACUAUUUCCACUGGCACAGUGAUGCCUUCUCUAUCAGAGGCUGUGACUUCAUUUGCCACCACUGGGGUUCCACGAGUCAUCUCGGGUUCAGGUAGUCCAUUCUCUAGGACAGAGUCAGGCCCUGGGGAUGCUACUCUGUCCACCAUUGCAGAGAGCCUGCCUUCAUCCACUCCUGUGCCAUUCUCCUUUUCAACCUUCACUACCACUGAUUCUUCAACCAUCCCAGCCCUCCAUGGGAUAACUUCCUCUUCAGUUACUCCACAUAGAGUGGACACCAGUCUUGGGACAGAGAGCAGCACUACUGAAGGACACUUCGUUAUGGUCAGUACUUUGGACACUUCGAGCCAACCAGCCAGGACAUCUUCAUCACCCAUUUUGGAUACCAGAAUGACAGAGAGCGCUGAGCUGGGAACAGUGACAAGUGCUUAUCAAGUUCCUUCACUCUCAACACGGUUGACAAGAACUGAUGGCAUUAUGGAGCACAUCACAAAAAUACCCAGUGAAGCAGCACACAGAGGUACCAUAAGACCAGUCAAAGGUCCUCAGACAUCCACAUUGCCUGCCAGUCCUAAAGGACUACACACGGGAGGGACAAAAAGAAUGGAGACCACCACCACAGCUCUGAAGACCACCACCACAGCUCCGAAGACCACUUCCAGAGCCAUCUUGACCACCAGUGUCUAUACUUCUACUUUGGGAACACUGACUCCCCUCAAUGCAUCAGUGCAAAUGGCCAGCACAAGUACCACAGAAAUGACGAUCACAACCCCAUAUGUUUCCCCUGAUGUUCCAGAAAUGACAUCCUCAUUGGCUACCAGCCUGGGAGCAGAAACCAGCGCAGCUCUUCCCAGGACCACCCCAUCUGUUUUCAAUAGAAAAUCAGAGACCACAGCCUCACUGGUCCCUAGUUCUGAGGCAGAGACAAGUCCAGCUAUUCAAACUCUAGAUGUUUCUUCUAGUGAGCCAGAUACAACAGCUUCAUGGGUUAUCCAUCCUGCAGAGACCAUCCCAACUGUUUCCAAGACAACCACCAGUUUUUUCCACAGUGAAUCACACACUGUAUCUUCCACAGCCACAAGUCAUGGGGUAGAAGUCAGCUCAGCCAUUCCAACAAAUAUCUUACCUAGUGAACCAGAUGCACUGACCCCACUGGUCACUAUUUCUGGGACAGAUGCUAGUACAACAUUCCCAACACUGACUAAGUCCCCACAUGAAACACAGACAAGAACCACAUGGCUCUCUCAUCCUGCAGAGACCGGCUCAACCAUUUCCAGAACAAUCCCCAAUUUUUCCCAUCGUGAAUCAGAUGCCACACUUUCAGUGGCCACCAGUCCUGGGGCAGAAACCAGUUCAGCGAUUCCAACUAUGACUGUCUCACCUGGUGCAGCAGAUCUGGUGACCUCACAGGUCACUAGUUCUGGAACAGACCGAAAUAUGACUAUUCCAACUUUGAGUCUUUCUUCUGGUGAACCAAAGACCACAGCCUCAUUAGUCACCCAUCCUGAAGCACAGACAAGUUCGGCCAUUCCAACUUCAACUAUCUUGCCUGGUGUAUCACGGAUGGUGACCUCAAUGGUCACCAGUUUGGCGGCAGAGACAAGUACAACUAAUCCAGCUCUGACAAGCUCCCCUGGUGAACCAGCUACCACAGAUUCAUUGGUCACGCAUCCUGCACAGACCAGCCCAACAGUUCCCUGGACAACUUCCAUUUUUUUUCAUAGUAAAUCAGACACCAUACCUUCAAUGGCCACCAGUCAUGGGGCACAAUCCAGUUCAGCUGUCCCAAUUCCAACUGUUUCACCUGGAGUACCAGGAGUGGUAACCCCUGUGGUCACUAGUUCUAUGACAGUGACAGGUACAACUACUCCAAUUCUGACUCUUUCUGCUGGUGAACCAGAGACCACACCUUCAAUGGCCACCAGUCAUGAGGCAGAAGCCAGCUCAGCUGUUCCAGCUGUUUCACCUGGGGUACCAGGAGUGGUGACCUCUCUGGUCACUAGUUCUAGGGCAGUGACCAGUACAACUAUUCCAAUUCUGACUCUUUCUCCUGGUGAACCAGAGACAACACCUUCAAUGGCCACCAGUCAUGAGGCAGAAGUCAGCUCAGCUGUUCCAACUGUUUCACCUAGGGUACCAGAAGUGGUGACCUCUCUGGUCACUAGUUCUAGGGCCAGUGACAGUACAACCUAUUCCAACUCUGACUCUUCUUCUGGUGAACCAGAGACACACCUUCCAAUGGCCACCAGUCAAAAGGACAGAAGGGGCAGAAGCCAGCUCUGCUGUUCCAACUCCAACUGUUUCACCUGAGGUACCAGAAGUGGUGACCUCUCUGGUCACUAGUUCUAUGGCAGUG
rnacentral:lncRNA from 1 species